rnacentral:rRNA from 1 species
CCGCAUAAGCCCACGGGUCGGCAUCGACCAGAGGGAAAAGGAGCAAUCCGCUUUGAGAUGGCCUCGCGUCCGAUUAGCUAGUUGGUGAGGUAACGGCCCACCAAGGCAACGAUCGGUAGCCGGACUGAGAGGUUGAACGGCCACAUUGGGACUGAGACACGGCCCAGACUCCUACGGGAGGCAGCAGUGGGGAAUAUUGCACAAUGGGGGAAACCCUGAUGCAGCGACGCCGCGUGGAGGAAGAAGGUCUUCGGAUUGUAAACUCCUGUUGUUGAGGAAGAUAAUGACGGUACUCAACAAGGAAGUGACGGCUAACUACGUGCCAGCAGCCGCGGUAAAACGUAGGUCACAAGCGUUGUCCGGAAUUACUGGGUGUAAAGGGAGCGCAGGCGGGAAGACAAGUUGGAAGUGAAAUCCAUGGGCUCAACCCAUGAACUGCUUUCAAAACUGUUUUUCUUGAGUAGUGCAGAGGUAGGCGGAAUUCCCGGUGUAGCGGUGGAAUGCGUAGAUAUCGGGAGGAACACCAGUGGCGAAGGCGGCCUACUGGGCACCAACUGACGCUGAGGCUCGAAAGUGUGGGUAGCAAACAGGAUUAGAUACCCUGGUAGUCCACACCGUAAACGAAGAUUAUUAGGUGUUGGAGGAUUGACCCCCUCAGUGCCGCAGCUAACACAAUAAGUAAUCCACCUGGGGAGUACGACCGCAAGGUUGAAACUCAAAGGAAUUGACGGGGGCCCGCACAAGCAGUGGAGUAUGUGGUUUAAUUCGACGCAACGCGAAGAACCUUACCAAGUCUUGACAUCCCUCGACGAUGCUGGAAACAGUAUUUCUCUUCGGAGCAAGGAGACAGGUGGUGCAUGGUUGUCGUCAGCUCGUGUCGUGAGAUGUUGGGUUAAGUCCCGCAACGAGCGCAACCCUUAUGGUCAGUUACUACGCAAGAGGACUCUGGCCAGACUGCCGUUGACAAAACGGAGGAAGGUGGGGAGGACGUCAAAUCAUCAUGCCCUCUAUGACUUGGGCUACACACGUACUACAAUGGCGUUAAACAAAGAGAAGCAAGACCGCGAGGUGGAGCAAAACUCAGAAACAACGUCCCAGUUCGGACUGCAGGCUGCAACUCGCCUGCACGAAGUCGGAAUUGCUAGUAAUCGUGGAUCAGCAUGCCACGGUGAAUACAAUCCCGGGCCUUGCACU